AGCGAACGUUUGCGGCGGGCCUAACACAUGCAAGUCGAACGAGAAUCUCUUCGGAGAGGAAAGUGGCGCACGGGUGCGUAACACGUGGAUAACCAACCCCCUGCUUGUCGGGAUAACGCUGGGAAAACCCGGCGCUAAUACCGGGUGUGUCCGAGGUGUCAUCAGGCGCUUCGGAGAAAGACACGCAAGGGUCGCCAGGGGACGGGUCCGCGUCCCGAUCAGCUAGUUGGUGAGGUAAUGGCUCACCAAGGCAAAGACGGGUAGCUGGUCUGAGAGGAUGAUCAGCCACACUGGAACCUGAGACACGGUCCAGACUCCUACGGGAGGCAGCAGUGGGGAAUAUUGCGCAAUGGGCGGAAGCCUGACGCAGCCACGCCGCGUGAGCGAUGAAGGUCUUAGGAUCGUAAAGCUCUGUGGAGGGAGAACGAAGAAAGCCGGUGAAGAGCCGGCCUUGACGGUAUCCCUUUAGCAAGCACCGGCUAACUCCGUGCCAGCAGCC
rnacentral:rRNA from 1 species